GCUUACACCCACCCGUGUUUACAUACUAUUGUUGCUUUGGCGGGCCGUGGCCUCCACUGCGGGCUCUGCUCGUGUGUGCCCGCCAGAGAACCAAACUCUGAAUGUUAGUGAUGUCUGAGUACUAUCUAAUAGUUAAAACUUUCAACAACGGAUCUCUUGGUUCUGGCAUCGAUGAAGAACGCAGCGAAAUGCGAUAAGUAAUGUGAAUUGCAGAAUUCAGUGAAUCAUCGAAUCUUUGAACGCACAUUGCGCCCUGUGGUAUUCCGCAGGGCAUGCCUGUUCGAGCGUCAUUUAACCACUCACGCCUAGCGUGGUAUUGGGGCACGCGGUCUCCGCGGCCCUCAAAAUGAGUGGCGGCGCCGGUGGGCUCUAAGCGUAGUACAUACUCCCGCUAUAGAGUUCCCCCGGUGGCUCGCCAGAACCCCCAAUUUUUACAGGUUGACCUCGGAUCAGGUAGGGAUACCCGCUGAACUUAAGCAUAUC
rnacentral:rRNA from 1 species